rnacentral:rRNA from 1 species
GACGAACGCUGGCGGCGUGCUUAACACAUGCAAGUCGAACGGAAAGGCCCCUUUGGGCGUACUCGAGUGGCGAACGGGUGAGUAACACGUGAGUAACCUGCCCUUGACUUCGGGAUAACUUCAGGAAACUGGGGCUAAUACCGGAUAGGAAUCCUUGCUGCAUGGUGGGGGUUGGAAAGCUUCGGCGGUUUUGGAUGGACUCGCGGCUUAUCAGCUUGUUGGUGGGGUAGUGGCUUACCAAGGCUUUGACGGGUAGCCGGCCUGAGAGGGCGACCGGCCACAUUGGGACUGAGAUACGGCCCAGACUCCUACGGGAGGCAGCAGUGGGGAAUAUUGCACAAUGGGCGGAAGCCGGAUGCAGCAACGCCGCGUGCGGGAUGACGGCCUUCGGGUUGUAAACCGCUUUCAGCAGGGGCGAAGCUUGUGGUGACGGUACCUGCAGAAGAAGCACCGGCUAACUACGUG